UACGUAGGGGGCAAGCGUUGGUCCGGAUUUAUUGGGCGUAAAGAGCGUGUAGGCGGCCAGAUAGGUCUGCUGUGAAAACUCGAGGCUCAACCUCGAGAUGUCGGCGGAAACCAUUUGGCUAGAGUCCGGAAGAGGAAAGUGGAAUUCCUGGUGUAGCGGUGAAAUGCGCAGAUAUCAGGAAGAACACCCGUGGCGAAGGCGGCUUUCUGGGACGGUACUGACGCUGAGACGCGAAAGCGUGGGGAGCGAACAGG
rnacentral:rRNA from 1 species